GUUGGCAAGCAGAGUGUCUCCAAGAUGGCCGCUUGGGGAAGGAGGCGUCUUGGCCCGGGCAGCAGUGGCGGCAGCGCCCGAGAGAGGGAACCAACAGUGUUUGUAAUGAAGAACAUCAGACUCUGAGCUGUAACCUGAAUUCUUGUCCAAAAUUCAGCACACUGGCAACGAGCACAUCAAACAGAUUGCCACUUGUCCUGUCGGCGUCUUUGAGACACACUUGCCCAUCUAGGAAAGCACAGUGCAGGUAUCUGUGUUCUGCCACCGUGUGCCAGCCCGGACCAGCUCACAGACAGCCCCGCCUGUCUUACUUGGGCUGCUCGGCUUCACUCUCUCAGGGCCCCUGAACCUCCCUCAGCCCUCCGUGAUUGUUGGAAUGACUACGGGUACACACCAGCAUGACACCUCAGCCAUGAGAAGCUGCCCGCGUCCAGACUUCUGCCUUUCAUGGACACCGAGAAGGUUCUGGAACAGGAAGUGAGCCACCUCCCGCUCUUCUUGGCAGUGGAAGGAGGCCCUCCCACGGGGUGAGCUUGUCGGCCACAGACUGCUACAUUGUGCAUGAGAUCUACAAUGGGGAGAAUGCCCAAGACCAGUUUGAGUACGAGCUGGAGCAGGCCCUGGAAGCCCAGUACAAGUACAUUGUGAUUGAGCCCACUCGCAUCGGCGACGAGACGGCCCGCUGGAUCACCGUGGGCAACUGCCUGCACAAGACGGCCGUGCUGGCGGGCACCGCCUGCCUCUUCACCCCGUUGGCGCUGCCCUUAGAUUAUUCCCACUACAUUUCCCUGCCCGCUGGUGUGCUGAGCCUGGCCUGCUGCACCCUC
rnacentral:sRNA from 1 species